CCGUCGAAAGAUGGGGUAAUGCGCGAUGAGACCACGGCCUGUUCGCAGGCAGGGGUCAAAGGUGGGGAUCCUUCGGACCUGGCGGCCAAGGGAGCGGGCGACCUCCGAUUAGCUAGUUGGCGGGGUAACGGCCCACCAAGGCGAUGAUCGGUAACCGGGCUGAGAGGCUGUCCGGUCACACUGGCACUGAGACACUGGCCAGACUCCUACGGGAGGCUGCAGUCGCGAAUUUUUCACAGUGGGCGCAAGCCUGAUGAAGCCACGCCGUGUGCAGGAUGAAGGCCCUCUGGGUUGUAAACUGCUGUCAGGGAAGGGGAAACGCUGGGUGUUAACAGCAUCUGGUUUGACUGCUUUCCAAAGGAAGCCCCGGCAA
rnacentral:rRNA from 1 species